UACGUAGGGUGCGAGCGUUAAUCGGAAUUACUGGGCGUAAAGCGUGCGCAGGCGGUUAUGUAAGACAGGUGUGAAAUCCCCGGGCUUAACCCUGGGAACUGCAUUUGUGACUGCAUAGCUAGAGUACGGUAGAGGGGAUGGAAUUCCGCGUGUAGCAGUGAAAUGCGUAGAUAUGCGGAGGAACACCGAUGGCGAAGGCAAUCCCCUGGACCUGUACUGACGCUGAUGCGCGAAAGCGUGGGUAGCAAACAGG
rnacentral:rRNA from 1 species